GAAUGUCAAAUUUCUAGUAUGAGAAAUUAACGAUUUAAGUCCUUCUUAAAUGAGGCCAUUUACCCAUAGAGGGUGCCAGGCCCGUAUAACGUUAAUGAUUACUAGAUGGCAUUUCCAAAGAGUCGUGUUGCUUGAUAGUGCAGCACUAAGUGGGUGGUAAACUCCAUCUAAAACUAAAUAUAACCAUGAGACCGAUAGUAAACAAGUACCGUGAGGGAAAGUUGAAAAGAACUCUGAAUAGAGAGUUAAAUAGUACGUGAAACUGCUUAGAGGUUAAGCCCGAUGAACCUGAAUAUCCAUUAUAGAAAAUUCAUCAUUAUGAUUUUAAUAUUAAUAAUAUUAUAAUAAUGGUGUGCAUUUUUUCUAUAACGGACAUUGUAAUCUAUUAACAUAAAUUAAUUUAUCAUAAGAUCAAUGAUGCGUAAGUUUAUUCAAAUUAUUUUGCUUGCAAUUUAACAUAGAAUAAAUGCUCUUGAUUUGAUAAAGUGUUGAUAGAUUUAUUGUAUAUAGUGCUUAAAUAUUUAUAUUUUAUAAUAGCAUAUUAAUCAUUGAUUUUUAUGUUUAUUAUAUGCACUUAUAUGAUUAACAAUGCGAAAGAUUCAGGAUACCUUCGGGACCCGUCUUGAAACACGGACCAAGGAGUCUAACAUAUUUGCAAGUUAUUGGGUAUCAAAACCUAAUAGCGAAAUUAACAUAACUUUAAUGGGAUUAGUUUUUAGAUUAUUUAUAGUCUAUUAAUUCAAUCCCGGGGCGUUCUAUACAGUUAUGUAUAAUAAUAUUUAUAUUAUUUAUACCUCUAACUAGAGCGUACCUUGAGCAUAUAUGCUGUGACCCGAAAGAUGGUGAACUAUACUUGAUCAGGUUGAAGUCAGGGGAAACCCUGAUGGAAGACCGAAACAGUUCUGACGUGCAAAUCGAUUGUCAGAAUUGAGUAUAGGGGCGAAAGACCAAUCGAACCAUCUAGUAGCUGGUUCCCUCCGAAGUUUCCCUCAGGAUAGCUGGUGCAUUUAAAAAUUAUGUAAAAUAAUCUUAUCUGGUAAAGCGAAUGAUUAGAGGCCUUAGGGUCGAAACGACCUUAACCUAUUCUCAAACUUUAAAUGGGUAAGAACCUCACCUUUCUUGGUAUGAAGGUUGUGGUUGUGAUAUAAUGUGCCCAGUGGGCCACUUUUGGUAAGCAGAACUGGCGCUGUGGGAUGAACCAAACGUAAUGUUACGGUGCCCAAAUUAACAACUCAUGCAGAUACCAUGAAA
rnacentral:rRNA from 1 species